GAUGAAGAACGUAGUGAAAUGCGAUACGUAAUGUGAAUUGCAGAAUUCAGUGAAUCAUCGAAUCUUUGAACGCACAUUGCGCCCGCCAGUAUUCUGGCGGGCAUGCCUGUCUGAGCGUCAUUUCAACCCUCAGCCCCCGCUCGCGGGGCGCUGGCGUUGGGGAUCGGCCGUCCUCGCGGCGGCCGGCCCCGAAACACAGUGGCGGUCUCUCGCGGACUCCCCUGCGUAGUAGCACUACCUCGCAGAAGGGACGAGCAGGCUGACCACGCCGUAAAACCCCCCACUUCUCCAGGUUGACCUCAGAUCAGGUAGGAAUACCCGCUGAACUUAAGCAUAUCAAUAAGCGGAGGA
rnacentral:misc_RNA from 1 species